UACGUAGGGUGCAAGCGUUAAUCGGAAUUACUGGGCGUAAAGCGUGCGCAGGCGGUUUGUAAGUCUGACGUGAAAUCCCCGAGCUUAACUUGGGAAUUGCGUUGGAGACUGCAAGGCUGGAGUCUGGCAGAGGGGGGUAGAAUUCCACGUGAUAGCAGUGAAAUGCGUAGAUAUGCGGAGGAACACCGAUGGCGAAGGCAAUCCCCUGGACCUGUACUGACGCUCAUGCACGAAAGCGUGGGGAGCAAACAGG
rnacentral:rRNA from 1 species